CUUGCGUACAUUGCUAAUACUCUAUUACACACAUUACCAUUGUUUCACUGUUACUUGCUUAAAUGGCGGAUUUGUGUCUACAUCUGAGUGCAGUUGAGGACACGUUCGAGCUACAUUCGGUGGAGCUGGAGGCUGUGGAGAAGCUCGUGUUCUCGAUGUUUCUGCGCAGAUACCUGUGAUCCUGAAGGGCGACGAGAGCAUCGGCGCUGUCGUGCUGCACACGGGGGUUAACGACACCAAGCUGCGGCAGACGGAGACACUGAAGAGGGACUUCAGGAGCCUGAUCAAGACGGUACGCAGUACAUCGCCCGCAACGACGAUCAUCGUGUCAGGACCGCUUCCCACGUAUCGACGAGGACACGAAAGGUUCUGUAGACUUUUUGAUUUAAACGAAUGGUUAUUGUCAUGGUGUAAAGAACAGAAACUGCUCUUUGUUAAUAAUUGGAAUCUUUUCUGGGAGCGUUCUAGGCUUUUCCGUGCUGAUGGCCUGCACCCCAGCAGAGUCGGAGCAGAACUCCUGUCGGACAACAUCUCCAGGACGCUACGCUCCAUAUGACUAGAAUUACUGAAGUGUCAGUAAUCCAACCCUUAAAAAGAUCCGAGAUGACCAAACACCUGAGAAGAGAUGAUGGCAACACCUCAGAGGACCACGGAGGAUGCCAACCCUCAGACAACACAUAAUUACCAAGUGGGCGUGGUCUCUGUUAACCAGCUGGAGAUGGUGAUUGGUCCCACUAUGCACCUUCCCCAGAGAUAAGGACCACCUCAAACACGCGUCUAGAGCCUUCGAGCCUCGCUGACUUCGUACCGUUGUGCCAGAGAGAGAUAUUUUGAGUAGACCUAUAGUAAAUCUGUUGAAUUCUGAUUACCUAUUGUUCUGUGGAUUGUUGUGCCAGAGAGAGAUAUUUUGAGUAGACUUAUAGUAAAUCUGUUGAGUGUUAGUUAUUCUGAGAUCAAAUAUUACAUUUCCCGUUUAUCUGAACAUUGCCUGUUUGACUAUGACUUGGAUUCUGAUUCUGCUUUGUGUACGCCCUGGAACUUUGUACUUUAUUACACGUUUGCCGAAUUAAGGGAUGUAGGGGGCUAGACGCCGUUUUAUUUUGUGUAUAGCCUAUUUUUCACUUUGUUUAUGGUUGAGGGAGGUAGGGAACUUGGUUUGUAGUUUGUUUUCUUUAUUUUUCUUUGAGGUUAUUUAGUUAUCAAGAAUAAGUUCGUUUUGUUUAUUGUUUUGGCUUUGUCUGCCCCUGAAGAUAUUCCCUUAUAAAAAAAAAUAAUAAAACUCGUUUUCUCGGCAGCUCUCUGGUGUUUUUCUAUUUCUGUUACGUCUGUUAAGUCUAACCCCUAGAG